UAGUGUGUGAAUGUGAAUGUGAACGUUGUCUAUCUCUGUUGGCGACUUGUACAGGGUGUACGCCGCCUUCCGCCCGAUUGUAGCUGAGAUAGGCGCCAGCUCCCCCCGCGAUCCCAAAAGGGAAUAAGCGGUAGAAAUGGAUGGAUGUUUUACUAGGUGUAACACAUUUUAAUUUUGUACUAUUAACUUUUCGGAGUGUGUAGUUGGUUUUAGUCUGUACGUGACGCCAUUUUGGACAGCAUACUUCGUUUUCAUUACAUUUUUGUGACCCUUACUGCUCAUUAAUGUGGGGUUUACUGCUUUUAUAUCGAGUUCCCGACAUCGUAGAGGCCAAUAUGAACCCAAGAGAUAUAGAGGGAAUUACGGCAAACGACGAGGGCGGUCGCAACAGUUGCCUUGGUUAAAUUUGGGCCCUGCCAUAGUGGAAAUGGGCUUCCUGGACAACGAUUCACCACCGCCUCCACUGGUUGACCGAGACAACCUACCCAUGUUAACCCUGUUAACAGAAAAUGACAUGGGUUACCUGGAUGACCAGUUAACUUACUCCAGUUGCAUGCACCUAUCUUACCUGAACAUGAUGUUACCAAGCAGUACAUGAACCAUCAGUACACGGUCUCUGAGUUGCCUGUCCUUUACCUGCAUGCUCCCACACCACCGCAGUGUCUUGAAGUGUACCCCCAAGAAGUGUGCAACUAUAACUCAUAAAUACAUUCCUGUCUCCACAAAGGUCUCUAAUUUAAACAAUUUCCAUAUUUGCACCAGCAUGGAGCUGACACCAAGAGAGGUUACUGGAGAGGAGGCAGAUUGGUACGAGCUCCUGAUGCCACUGCUUGGACACAUGGUGGAGAUGGGCGCCCCGGACAAUGAUUCACCACCGUCUCCUCUGGUUAACCCAGACGACCUACCCAUGUUAACAAUGUUAACAGAAAAUUAUAUAGGCUACCUGGCAGUGUCUUGAAGUACCCCCAAAGAUGUCGGAGUGCAACUCUAACCCACACAUAUAUUCCUACCUCCACAAAGGUCUAUAUAUCAAAGAAACGUGAUGUCCAGGAAAGCAGAGAGAAGACCUGUAUUAAAAAGCCACCAAAUACCUUCAUGAUCUUCAGGAAGGAGCAAAUGUCCAAAAUCAAAGGUCAGCUGAAUAUCAGCAAGGGGACAAUCAACACAACAACUAAGGAAGCCAGUCUUUGCACAGCUGCUAGUUCCCAGCUUUGUGAAUGCACUGCUGCUGCUGCAACGUGUGCUACCUGAAGACCCAAAGCAAAAUGCUGGGAGUUUGCUUUCCAAAAUAAAGUGGACCUUCCUUAGAAGAUGGCAUUUAACUAUAACAUUGCCACAUUUGGACAAACAAACAUAAAAUAUGACUUUCAAAUAAGUCAUGCCUAUCAAUUACUGUUUCAUAUGUAACAUGUUGUGUGUCUUUUAAUGACUAUUUCAUAGAAUACAUGUAAUUUUGUAUACAAUUGUAUAAUGAUGUUUAUUUAUAUACAGUACAUGGCCUGUUACAGUUAAUACUCUUAUUUAACACUUUUAUAAUGUUUUCUUCCCUGCCAGUCAUCUGAAUAAGAGUCAAUAGGUAAUAUAAAUAUUAUGGCUCUUUAGCUGCUCCAGUCAUGUUAUUGUUUAAUUUAGGUCAGUUUUAAGAUUUGUACUUGAAUUGAUUUGAAGUUAUUUGUUUUCAAAACAGGUUUACAGUGUUUUAAGUUGAAAUGCUUAAAAUUUAAAUAACAUCUGUGACAGAAUUUGGGUUUAUAUAUUUUAAUCAGCAUGUGUAUUAUUAAAGGCCUACUGAAAUGAGAUUUUCCUAUUUAAACGGGGAUAGCAGGUCCAUUCUAUGUGUCAUACUUGAUCAUUUUGCGAUAUUGCCAUAUUUUUGCUGAAAGGAUUUAGUAGAGAACAUGGACGAUUAAGUUCGCAACUUUUGGUCGCUAAU